rnacentral:rRNA from 1 species
UACGUAGGGGGCAAGCGUUAUCCGGAUUUACUGGGUGUAAAGGGAGCGUAGACGGCGGAACAAGUCAGAAGUGAAAACCCGGGGCUCAACCCUGGGAGUGCUUUUGAAACUGUUUGGCUGGAGUGCAGGAGAGGUAAGCGGAAUUCCUAGUGUAGCGGUGAAAUGCGUAGAUAUUAGGAGGAACACCAGUGGCGAAGGCGGCUUACUGGACUGUAACUGACGUUGAGGCUCGAAAGCGUGGGGAGCAA